ACAAAUCAUGAUUGUAAGGUGACGCUUCGGCGUCCUUUACAAAUACACCCCAAGCCUGUAGCGCAAGCUCGGGCUUUCGGUUUUGACAGGCCCUCGGGUCGGUCACAUAGACGCUUGUAUAUGUUUGACAGAGUUAUUGUUUGCAAUUUAAAAAUGA
rnacentral:misc_RNA from 1 species